rnacentral:lncRNA from 1 species
AGCGGGGGCGGGGCCCUGGGGGCGGGCUCUGCGGCCUGUGGCUGCAGAGGGACGCAAGAGCAUAAACUGAAAUCCCACAUCCCCGUGGAGGAACUUGGAGAUAAGAUGCAAAGCGCAGCAAAUAGGAGCCACUCUUUCAGAGAUGACAGACCACCUGGUUUCGAGGAGCAGCAGACAGCGUGAAUGAAUGAAGUUGGCCAGGUAAAGAACUGAAAUGCAGACAGGAAAUGGGACUUGCCUGACAUGGAGCAGGUGUUCUGUGUGUUGACUGGAAUCACCUGGGAAGUUUUAGUCCUGUGAUACCACCUGGAACCACAAGUGAGGACACAGCAAGAAGAUGAUCAUCUGCAAGCCAAGAAGAGGGGUCUCACCAGAAUCCUAUAAUGCUGGCACCCUGAUAUUUUACUUUCCACCUUCCAUAAAUGUGAGAAAUAAAUGUCUAGGCCACCCA